rnacentral:misc_RNA from 1 species
UCCGGUUUGUCACCGGCAGUCACCUUAGAGUGCCCAACUAAAUGCUGGCAACUAAGAUCAAGGGUUGCGCUCGUUGCGGGACUUAACCCAACAUCUCACGACACGAGCUGACGACAACCAUGCACCACCUGUCACUCUGUCCCCCGAAGGGGAACGUCCUAUCUCUAGGAUUGUCAGAGGAUGUCAAGACCUGGUAAGGUUCUUCGCGUUGCUUCGAAUUAAACCACAUGCUCCACCGCUUGUGCGGGCCCCCGUCAAUUCCUUUGAGUUUCAGCCUUGCGGCCGUACUCCCCAGGCGGAGUGCUUAAUGCGUUAGCUACAGCACUAAAGGGCGGAAACCCGCAACACCAAGUGCCCAUCGUUUACAGCUAGGACUAC